rnacentral:lncRNA from 1 species
CUGUAAACAGAUACCAUGACCAAGACAACUCUUAUAAGGAUAACAUUUAAUUGUGGCUAGCUUUUAGGUUCAUAGGUUCAGUCCAUUGCCAUUAAGGCAGUAUCCUGGCAGGCAUGGUACAGGAGGAGCUGAGAGUUCUACAUCUUUAUCUGAAUGCUGUUGGCAGAAUACUGGUUUCCAAGCAGCUAGGAUGAGGGUCUUAAAGUUCAUGCCCACAGUGACACACCUACUCCAACAAGGCCACAUCUACACCAAAAGGGUCAAAGCUUCUAAUAGUGCCACUCCCUGGGCUGAGCAUAUACAAACCAUCACAGUCAGGUUAGUAGACUAGAGUCUUUGGGCAGCAGAAAAGAUUAGGGAUGGGGAUGAAGGUUAGCAAUUGGUUGCUGCCAGUGAACAUGGUUCAUUCACCAAGCAGCAUCAUAGGGAAUACUACAUGGCAAGAAGGACUGAGUGCUCAGUCCCUUGUUUAGUGUGACCUAAGUUCUUUAAGGCUCUGGAACACAGCUGGACAGAAUGCUUGUUUUCUCUAAUCUUCAGGUUCAUUUGGGUGAAAUAAAGAUAGUUUCAGAGUAAGGUGUCCCUCUGUCCCCCCUCUCUCCCUUUUUCCUUCUUUCCUUUCCUCCAUAAUUUCUUUGUUUCUCCCUUCCCUCCUCCUCCUUUAAAAUAAUAGUGGGGAGUGAACCUAGGAGUUCACACUUGCUGUGCAAAUGUUCUACCACAAAUUCAGCCCAAUCAUGUUUUCUUGAGGUCAAAGAGGUCAAAGAUGCCUUGCUCUCCUUUCUGACUCUGUCUCUUUCUCCUCUAGCAUCUUGACACUUUUUUUUUUCAAACACAACCACUCCAGUGAGUCAUCUUUCUUAGUAUGAGAUGGAGAUCAGACACUAUUCUAAAUUAGUACAACGUGGGGUAUUUAUGAAGAAGAAGGCCAAUUAGAGCCACUAGGCUCACAGAUCCCUGUAAAUGCGGGGGUGGGGGAUACAGUCGGUUCUUUGGGACAAGUGGGGUGCUCACCAGUUGCCUUUUCAGGGUUGUUGCACAUGAAGCACUGCCAUGCCCCCGCUGUUUCACUGAAGCCAAACACGUCGAAGAACCGCACUUCUUCC